rnacentral:rRNA from 1 species
CACGUAGGCACCAAGCGUUGUCCGGAUUUAUUGGGCGUAAAGAGCUCGUAGGCGGUUCGGUAAGUCGGGUGUGAAAACUUUGGGCUCAACCCAAAGCGUGCACUCGAUACUGCCAUGACUAGAGUUCGGUAGGGGAGUGGGUAAUUCCUAGUGUAGCGGUGAAAUGCGCAGAUAUUAGGAGGAACACCGGUGGCGAAGGCGCCACUCUGGGCCGAAACUGACGCUGAGGAGCGAAAGCGUGGGUAGCAAACAGG